rnacentral:rRNA from 1 species
AUUGAACGCUGGCGGCAGGCCUAACACAUGCAAGUCGAGCGGACCGGCGCACGGGUGAGUCAUGCCUAGGAAUCUGCCUGGUAGUGGGGGCUACCGUCCGGAAACGGGCGCUACUACCGCAUACUAUCCGCUGUGCCUAGGUCGGAUGAGCUCGUUGGUGGGGUAAAGGCCUACCAAGGCGACGAUCCGUAACGGGUCUGAGCGGAUGAUCAGGCACACUGGAACUGAGACACGGUCCAGAAUCCUACGGGAGGCAGGAGUGGGGAAGGUUGGACAAUGGGCGAAAGCCUGAGCCAGCCGUGCCGGGUGUGGGAAGAAGGGCUUCGGAGUGUAAAGCACUUUAAUUUGGGAGGCGUUACCAACAGAAGAAGCACCGGCUAACUCCGUGCCAGCAGCCGCGGUAAUAC